GCGGACGUAGCUCAGUUGGUAGAGCGCAACCUUGCCAAGGUUGAGGUCGCGAGUUCGAACCUCGUCGUCCGCU
rfam:Streptomyces caeruleatus strain NRRL B-24802 genomic scaffold PRJNA299234_s011, whole genome shotgun sequence.